CUAGCAAUGAUACCCAAUGGCCGGAUAGGUCAAAUAUGUAGAACAAUAUCCUUAGAACCCAUGCGGAUAUAGUUUCCAUAUAAUUCAUCCCCUUGACAAAAUGCUUAUAGGACACCUCAAAGUUUCACUGUCAACUCUAAUCAGGUUGUCCACAUUGUAUUUCAAAAUAUCAAAUCCAUCUGAUGGAUUAUCCUGGCCAAGAUUUUGCUAAAUUGAAAUACAGCGACUCAUUCUUCUCCAACUCUUGGAGUGGUCAAUCCCAUCUU
rnacentral:lncRNA from 1 species